rnacentral:rRNA from 1 species
GAUGAACGCUGACAGAAUGCUUAACACAUGCAAGUCUUUGGCGAAUCUGUGCUUGCACAGGCUAGCCAAGGCGGACGGGUGAGUAACGCGUAAAGAACUUGCCCUGCGGACAGGGAUAACAGACGGAAACGACUGAUAACACCUGAUACAGUUGCCGGCACGCAUGUGCCUGGCAAUGAAAAGAGAUGCUGCAGGAGAGCUUUGCGUCCUAUUAGCUUGUUGGUGAGGUGACGGCUCACCAAGGCGAUGAUAGGUAGCCGGCCUGAGAGGGUGAACGGCCACAAGGGGACUGAGAUACGGCCCUUACUCCUACGGGAGGCAGCAGUGGGGAAUAUUGGACAAUGGGGGCAACCCUGAUCCAGCAAUUCUGUGUGCACGAAGAAGGUUUUCGGAUUGUAAAGUGCUUUCAGCAGGGAAGAAGAAAGUGACGGUACCUGCAGAAGAAGCGACGGCUAAAUACGUG